CUUGGCUCCCGUAACGAUGAAGAACGCAGCGAAAUGCGAUACGUAGUGUGAAUUGCAGAAUUCCGUGAACCAUCGAAUCUUUGAACGCAAAUUGCGCUCGAGGCUUCGGCCAAGAGCAUGUCUGCCUCAGCGUCGGCUACUACCCUCAACUAAGUUUCCUAUCAUAGAUAGGGGAUGCCAGUUGGAUAUGGCAGUCCGGUUUUGCCUUUCAGGUUGCCGGUCAGCUGAAAUACAUUCACGCUCUGGGGGCUGCUUUCCUCGAAAGGCUACUUUUGAGGGGAGGCGAGUUCCGAUUUGGUAGGUGACCUUUGCCGGUUGCAUGCCUUCGUUGCCCGCUAAGUUUCCCAGUGGUCGUUGUGCAGGACGCCUUUUGGCUUUCGACCUGAGGUCAGGCAAGAACACCCGCUGAACUUAAGCAUAUCA
rnacentral:rRNA from 1 species